CCGAGGAGGGAAGAUCACUUGAGCUCGGGAGUUUGAGACCAGUUUGCGCAACACGGUCCUUGAAGGUUUAUACUGCAAGAAGUCCACAAGGAAGCAGAUGAAAUGACAUGAAAACUGCAAAUUGGAUCAUGCCAUCCCCAUGCCUAAAGCCCUGUAAUGGUCCCCUCAGCCCUCAAAAUCAAAGCCAGAUUCCUAGCCACAGGCUUCAAGUGUUCAUGGUCCCCAGUGCAAGGUUCUUUGAACUGGCUGGUCACUGGCCAUGGCCACCCCAGUGACCAACACGCACACCUCUGGAUGGCCUCUGGACUUGGAAAAUCUGAAGAAACUGGAAGACCAUGAAAAGAGGAAGAAUGAUCAAACCCUGCAGGGCAUAAUUAACUUGAGACAGUCUUCUAUUGGUCCUCAUUCCCACCUCAAUUGAUAAGGCAGUUGGACUCUAACCGACCUUGAUCAACCUAGUGACUCCAGACCCUAUGACCCCUCCCAGCUUGCAAAAACUGCCUUGAACUGUAACUUCUGUAACUUUCCACUGCCCACCCCAAACCUAUAAAACCAACGCCUGUCCCACCACCCUGCACUGACUCUGUUUUCCGACU